GACGAACGCUGGCGGCGUGCUUAACACAUGCAAGUCGAACGAUGAACCCGGAGCUUGCUCUGGGGGAUUAGUGGCGAACGGGUGAGUAACACGCGAGUAACCUGCCCUGGACUCUGGGAUAAGCGUUGGAAACGACGUCUAAUACCGGAUAGGAUCUUGGAUCGCAUGAUCUGGGGUGGAAAGUUUUUCCGGUCCGGGAUGGACUCGCGGCCUAUCAGCUUGUUGGUGAGGUAAUGGCUCACCAAGGCGUCGACGGGUAGCCGGCCUGAGAGGGUGACCGGCCACGCUGGAACUGAGACACGGCCCAGACUGCUGCGGGUGGCAGCAGUGGGGAAUAUUGCACAAUGGGCGAAAGCCUGAUGCAGCAACGCCGCGUGCGGGAGGACGGCCGUCGGGUUGUAAACCGAUUUAAGUAGAGAAGAAGGGCUUCGGCUUGACGGUACCUGCAGAAAAAGGACCGGCUAACUACGUG
rnacentral:rRNA from 1 species